rnacentral:rRNA from 1 species
CCUACGGGUGGCAGCAGUGGGGAAUAUUGCACAAUGGGGGAAACCCUGAUGCAGCGACGCCGCGUGAGUGAAGAAGUAUUUCGGUAUGUAAAGCUCUAUCAGCAGGGAAGAAAAUGACGGUACCUGACUAAGAAGCCCCGGCUAACUACGUGCCAGCAGCCGCGGCAAUACGUAGGGGGCAAGCGUUAUCCGGAUUUACUGGGGGUAAAGGGAGCGUAGACGGCAGCACAAGUCUGGAGUGAAAUGCCGGGGCUUAACCCCGGGACUGCUUUGGAAACUGUGCAGCUAGAGUGCAGGAGAGGUAAGUGGAAUUCCUAGUGUAGCGGUGAAAUGCGUAGAUAUUAGGAGGAACACCAGUGGCGAAGGCAGCUUACUGGACUGUAACUGACGUUGAGGCUCGAAAGCGUGGGGAGCAAACAGGAUUAGAUACCCCUGUAGUC